GUAGCCUAGUGGUUAGAGUGUAGAGGAGGCAGGGUAGCCUAGUGGUUAGAGCGUUGAGGUGGCAGGUAGCCUAGUGGUUAGAGUGUAGAGGAGGCAGGGUAGCCUAGUGGUUAGAGCGUAGAGGUGGCAGGUAGCCUAGUGGUUAGAGGAGGCAGGUAACCUAGUGGUUAGAGUGUAGAGGAGGCAGGGUAGCCUAGUGGUUAGAGCGUAGAGGCGGCAGGGUAGCCUAGUGGUUAGAGGUGGCAGGUAGCCUAGUGGUUAGAGUGUAGAGGAGGCAGGGUAGCCUAGUGGUUAGAGCGUAGAGGUGGCAGGGUAGCCUAGUGGUUAGAGCGUAGAGGUGGCAGGGUAGCCUAGUGGUUAGAGCGUAGAGGUGGCAGGGUAGGCUAGUGGUUAGAGUGUAGAGGAGGCAGGGUAGCCUAGUGGUUAGAGCGUAGAGGAGGCAGGGUAGCCUAGUGGUUAGAGUGUAGAGGUGGCAGGUAGCCUAGUGGUUAGAGUGUAGAGGAGGCAGGUAGCCUAGUGGUUAGAGUGUAGAGGUGGCAGGUAGCCUAGUGGUUAGAGUGUAGAGGUGGCAGGUAGCCUAGUGGUUAGAGUGUAGAGGUGGCAGGUAGCCUAGUGGUUAGAGUGUAGAGGAGGCAGGUAGCCUAGUGGUUAGAGCGUAGAGGUGGCAGGUAGCCUAGUGGUUAGAGUGUAGAGGAGGCAGGUAGCCUAGUGGUUAGAGCGUAGAGGUGGCAGGUAGCCUAGUGGUUAGAGUGUAGAGGAGGCAGGUAGCCUAGUGGUUAGAGUGUAGAGGUGGCAGGUAGCCUAGUGGUUAGAGUGUAGAGGAGGCAGGUAGCCUAGUGGUUAGAGUGUAGAGGUGGCAGGUAGCCUAGUGGUUAGAGUGUAGAGGCGGCAGG
ensembl:lncRNA